rnacentral:misc_RNA from 1 species
UUUCCGUAGGUGAACCUGCGGAAGGAUCAUUCAUAAUGAGUGUUUUAUGGCACUUUUUUAAAUCCAUAUCCACCUUGUGUGCAAUGUCAGGGUUGAUUUUUCUCUCGAGAGGAUCAACCCCAAACAUCAACUAUAUCUCAACUCUUUGUCUGAAAAAUAUUAUGAAUAAAACAAUUCAAAAUACAACUUUCAACAACGGAUCUCUUGGCUCUC